rnacentral:rRNA from 1 species
UCCAGACUCCUACGGGAGGCAGCAGUGGGGGAUAUUGCACAAUGGGGGGAACCCUGAUGCAGCGACGCCGCGUGGGUGAAGGAGCGUUUCGGCGCGUAAAGCCCUAUCGGCAGGGAAGAAGGAGGACGGUACCUGACUAAGAAGCCCCGGCUAACUACGUGCCAGCAGCCGCGGUAAUACGUAGGGGGCAAGCGUUAUCCGGAUUUACUGGGUGUAAAGGGGGCGCAGACGGCAGCGCAAGCCAGGAGUGAAAGCCCGGGGCCCAACCCCGGGACUGCUCUUGGAACUGCGCGGCUGGAGUGCAGGAGGGGCAGGCGGAAUUCCUGGUGUAGCGGUGAAAUGCGUAGAUAUCAGGAGGAACACCGGUGGCGAAGGCGGCCUGCUGGACUGCGACUGACGUUGAGGCCCGAAAGCGUGGGGAGCAAACAGGAUUAGAUACCCGCGUACA